GGGGAAUUUUGGACAAUGGGCGCAAGCCUGAUCCAGCCAUGCCGCGUGAGUGAAGAAGGCCUUCGGGUUGUAAAGCUCUUUCAGUCGGAAAGAAACGGUCUGCCCUAAUAAGGUGGGCUAAUGACGGUACCGACAGAAGAAGCACCGGCUAACUACGUGCCAGCAGCCGCGGUAAUACGUAGGGUGCGAGCGUUAAUCGGAAUUACUGGGCGUAAAGCGUGCGCAGGCGGCUUUGUAAGACAGAUGUGAAAUCCCCGGGCUCAACCUGGGAACUGCGUUUGUGACUGCAAGGCUAGAGUACGGUAGAGGGGGGUGGAAUUCCACGUGUAGCAGUGAAAUGCGUAGAGAUGUGGAGGAACACCGAUGGCGAAGGCAGCCCCCUGGGCCUGUACUGACGCUCAUGCACGAAAGCGUGGGGAGCAAAC
rnacentral:rRNA from 1 species